GAAUCAGUGUGUGUGUUAGUGGAAGCGUCUGGAAAGGCGCGCGAUACAGGGUGACAGCCCCGUACACAAAAAUGCACAUAUUGUGAGCUCGAUGAGUAGGGCGGGACACGUGGUAUCCUGUCUGAAUAUGGGGGACCAUCCUCCAAGGCUAAAUACUCCUGACUGACCGAUAGUGAACCAGUACCGUGAGGGAAAGGCGAAAAGAACCCCGGCGAGGGAGUGAAAAAGAACCUGAAACCGUGUACGUACAAGCAGUGGGAGCACGCUUAGGCGUGUGACUGCGUACCUUUUGUAUAAUGGAGUCCAGCGACUUAUAUUCUGUAGCAAGGUUAACCGAAUAGGGGAGCCGAAGGGAAACCGAGUCUUAACUGGGCGUUAAGUUGCAGGGUAUAGACCCGAAACCCGGUGAUCUAGCCAUGGGCAGGUUGAAGGUUGGGUAACACUAACUGGAGGACCGAACCGACUAAUGUUGAAAAAUUAGCGGAUGACUUGUGGCUGGGGUGAAAGGCCAAUCAAACCGGAGAUAGCUGGUUCUCCCGAAAGCUAUUUAGGUAGCGCCUCGUGAAUUCAUCUCCGGGGGUAGAGCACUGUUUCGGCAAGGGGGUCAUCCCGACUUACCAACCCGAUGCAAACUGCGAAUACCGGAGAAUGUUAUCACGGGAGACACACGGCGGGUGCUAACGUCCGUCGUGAAGAGGGAAACAACCCAGACCGCCAGCUAAGGUCCCAAAGUCAUGGUUAAGUGGGAAACGAUGUGGGAAGGCCCAGACAGCCAGGAUGUUGGCUUAGAAGCAGCCAUCAUUUAAAGAAAGCGUAAUAGCUCACUGGUCGAGUCGGCCUGCGCGGAAGAUGUAACGGGGCUAAACCAUGCACCGAAGCUGCGGCAGCGACGCUGAUGCGUUGUUGGGUAGGGGAGCGUUCUGUAAGCCUGCGAAGGUGUGCUGUGAGGCAUGCUGGAGGUAUCAGAAGUGCGAAUGCUGACAUAAGUAACGAUAAAGCGGGUGAAAAGCCCGCUCGCCGGAAGACCAAGGGUUCCUGUCCAACGUUAAUCGGGGCAGGGUGAGUCGACCCCUAAGGCGAGGCCGAAAGGCGUAGUCGAUGGGAAACAGGUUAAUAUUCCUGUACUUGGUGUUACUGCGAAGGGGGACGGAGAAGGCUAUGUUGGCCGGGCGACGGUUGUCCCGGUUUAAGCGUGUAGGCUGGUUUUCCAGGCAAAUCCGGAAAAUCAAGGCUGAGGCGUGAUGACGAGGCACUACGGUGCUGAAGCAACAAAUGCCCUGCUUCCAGGAAAAGCCUCUAAGCAUCAGGUAACAUCAAAUCGUACCCCAAACCGACACAGGUGGUCAGGUAGAGAAUACCAAGGCGCUUGAGAGAACUCGGGUGAAGGAACUAGGCAAAAUGGUGCCGUAACUUCGGGAGAAGGCACGCUGAUAUGUAGGUGAAGUCCCUCGCGGAUGGAGCUGAAAUCAGUCGAAGAUACCAGCUGGCUGCAACUGUUUAUUAAAAACACAGCACUGUGCAAACACGAAAGUGGACGUAUACGGUGUGACGCCUGCCCGGUGCCGGAAGGUUAAUUGAUGGGGUUAGCGCAAGCGAAGCUCUUGAUCGAAGCCCCGGUAAACGGCGGCCGUAACUAUAACGGUCCUAAGGUAGCGAAAUUCCUUGUCGGGUAAGUUCCGACCUGCACGAAUGGCGUAAUGAUGGCCAGGCUGUCUCCACCCGAGACUCAGUGAAAUUGAACUCGCUGUGAAGAUGCAGUGUACCCGCGGCAAGACGGAAAGACCCCGUGAACCUUUACUAUAGCUUGACACUGAACAUUGAGCCUUGAUGUGUAGGAUAGGUGGGAGGCUUUGAAGUGUGGACGCCAGUCUGCAUGGAGCCGACCUUGAAAUACCACCCUUUAAUGUUUGAUGUUCUAACGUUGACCCGUAAUCCGGGUUGCGGACAGUGUCUGGUGGGUAGUUUGACUGGGGCGGUCUCCUCCUAAAGAGUAACGGAGGAGCACGAAGGUUGGCUAAUCCUGGUCGGACAUCAGGAGGUUAGUGCAAUGGCAUAAGCCAGCUUGACUGCGAGCGUGACGGCGCGAGCAGGUGCGAAAGCAGGUCAUAGUGAUCCGGUGGUUCUGAAUGGAAGGGCCAUCGCUCAACGGAUAAAAGGUACUCCGGGGAUAACAGGCUGAUACCGCCCAAGAGUUCAUAUCGACGGCGGUGUUUGGCACCUCGAUGUCGGCUCAUCACAUCCUGGGGCUGAAGUAGGUCCCAAGGGUAUGGCUGUUCGCCAUUUAAAGUGGUACGCGAGCUGGGUUUAGAACGUCGUGAGACAGUUCGGUCCCUAUCUGCCGUGGGCGCUGGAGAACUGAGGGGGGCUGCUCCUAGUACGAGAGGACCGGAGUGGACGCAUCACUGGUGUUCGGGUUGUCAUGCCAAUGGCACUGCCCGGUAGCUAAAUGCGGAAGAGAUAAGUGCUGAAAGCAUCUAAGCACGAAACUUGCCCCGAGAUGAGUUCUCCCUGACCCUUUAAGGGUCCUGAAGGAACGUUGAAGACGACGACGUUGAUAGGCCGGGUGUGUAAGCGCAGCGAUGCGUUGAGCUAACCGGUACUAAUGAACCGUGAGGCUUAACCUU
rnacentral:rRNA from 1 species